GGGCGAUUAGCUCAGCUGGUUAGAGCGCUGGUUUCACAUACCAGAGGUCACUAGUUCGAAUCUAGUAUCGCCCACCA
rnacentral:tRNA from 1 species